UACAGAGGUCUCAAGCGUUGUUCGGAUUCAUUGGGCGUAAAGGGUGCGUAGGCGGCGCGGUAAGUCGGGUGUGAAAUCUAUGGGCUCAACUCAUAGUCUGCAUCGGAAACUGCCGGGCUUGAGUAUGGGAGAGGUGAGUGGAAUUCCUGGUGUAGCGGUGAAAUGCGUAGAUAUCAGGAGGAACACCUGUGGCGAAAGCGGCUCACUGGACCAUAACUGACGCUGAUGCACGAAAGCUAGGGGAGCAAACAGG
rnacentral:rRNA from 1 species